AGAGUUUGAUCCUGGCUCAGCGCGAACGUUGGCGGCGCGCCUAACACAUGCAAGUCGUGGGGCAGCAGGCUACUACCUUCCGGUAGUAGUGCUGGCGACCGGCAAACGGGUGAGUAACGCGUAGCUUACCUACCCCAAGGUUGGGGAUAACCUCCCGAAAGGGUGGCUAAUACCCAAUAACCAGGAAACUCCAAAGCCGCAAGGCGCCUUGGGAUGGGGCUGCGUCCCAUCAGGUAGUUGGUGAGGUAAUGGCUCACCAAGCCUACGACGGGUAACCGGUCUGAGAGGAUGACCGGUCACAGUGGGACUGAGACACGGCCCGCACCCCUACGGGGGGCAGCAGUGGGGAAUCGUGGGCAAUGGGCGAAAGCCUGACCCCGCAACGCCGCGUGGAGGAAGAAGCCCUUCGGGGUGUAAACUCCUGUCAGGAGGGAAGAUGCUCACAGGGGUGAAUAAUCCCUGUGGGUGACGGUACCUCCAGAGGAAGGGACGGCUAACUACGUGCCAGCAGCCGCGGUAAUACGUAGGUCCCUAGCGUUGCGCGAAUUCACUGGGCGUAAAGCGUCCGUAGCCGGAUGGGUAAGCGGUUCGUCAAAGCCCACCGCUCAACGGUGGAAAGGCGUACCGAACUGCCCAUCUUGAGGCACGCUCAGGCAGGCGGAAUUCCUGGUGUAGCGGUGAAAUGCGUAGAUAUCAGGAGGAACACCGAAGGCGAAGGCAGCCGACUGGGACGCUCCUGACGCUGAGGGACGAAAGCUAGGGGAGCAAACCGGAUUAGAUACCCGGGUAGUCCUAGCUGUAAACGAUGGGUGUUAGAUGUGGGGUGCAAAAGCACUCCGUGUCGCAAGCUAACGCGUUAAACACCCCGCCUGGGGAGUACGGCCGCAAGGUUGAAACUCAAAGGAAUUGACGGGGACCCGCACAACCGGUGGAGCGUCUGGUUUAAUUCGAUGCUAACCGAAAAACCUCACCAGGGUUUGACAUACGGUGUGUCGGGCAUGAAAGUGUCCUAGGCUAUGAUUAUUCAUAGCCGCGCCGUACAGGUGGUGCAUGGUCGUCGUCAGCUCGUGUCGUGAGAUGUUGGGUUAAGUCCCGCAACGAGCGCAACCCUUGCCCUGUGUUACCAGCGGGUGAUGCCGGGGACUCACAGGGGACUGCCGGCGAUAAGUCGGAGGAAGGAGGGGAUGACGUCAGAUCAGUAUGCCCUUUAUGCCCUGGGCUACACAGGCGCUACAGUGGCAGGGACAAACGGAAGCCAAGCCGUAAGGUGGAGCAAAUCCGAGAAACCCUGUCGUGGUGCGGAUCGAGGGUUGCAACUCACCCUCGUGAAGGCGGA
rnacentral:rRNA from 1 species